rnacentral:rRNA from 1 species
CCCUUAGAUGUUCGGGGCCGCACGCGCGCUACAAUGAGUCGAUCAACGAGCGUAUAUUAUUAUCCAAGUCCGAAAGGUCGAGGUAAUCCGUUGAACCCGACUCGUGCUAGGGAUAGGGAAUUGUAAUUGUUUCCCUUGAACGAGGAAUUCCCAGUAAACGCAAGUCAUCAGCUUGCAUUGAUUACGUCCCUGCCCUUUGUACACACCACCCGUCGCAUCUACCGAUUGAAUGGAGAGGCAAAAUCUUCGGACCGUGACGCUUGGGAGUCAAAUCUCGGGCUGUCGUGGGAAGUGGAUUAAACCUUUCUAUUUAGAGGAAGGUAAAGUCGUAACA